UUUAUUUUUUCUUUUCUUUCUUUCUUUGUUUCUCUUUUACUUUCCUUCUCUUUCUUUUUGUCUUUCUUUCAAAAUAGUAAUUUAUCGAGCUUUAUUACGACUUUAGAGUAGACUUUAGAUUAAAAAAAACACUUUUACUUCUAAUUUAUCUUUUGAAUUUCGAUCAUGAAAUCCUAAAUUAUCAUUACUGUAGCAAUUCUCCUGCAAAACGUCCGCACUGUACGGGCAAACAUUUAAAGAAACCAACAGAAUUAAAUAUGAUCCAAUAAGUAGACUUUACCUCUAAAUAUGACAUUAAUUUUCUUGUAAAUAUGUAAAUGUUCUUUUCAUCCCUCUAGCACAUAUUUUUUCUUUUCUUUAUUUGUUAUUAAAAUUGUUCCUACGCUGGAUCUUCUAAAGCUCUUUCUGUACUUAACAUAAAAUAAGCAUAUUUGGUCUAACAAUAAACUAAAAUAAAUAACCAAUUGCAAGAUUAAAACUCCUAUCAUAAAAAUAAACGAUAAAGAGGGUAAAUUUGAUUCAAUUUGAAAUCAAAUCAAAUUUGAGGUACGUAUUGAAAAAUGUGUUUCAGUACCAAAAUUGCACAAGUUUUAAACUAAAAGGCUCACUAAAAUCAAAUUACUUCCAAAUGACUUCAAAUUUGUUUGCCAUGUAUGUUUCUUAUGGGAGAUUUGAAAGAAGAAGCAGUUUGAAUGGAGACAUUUUAUGACGCACAAUGUUUUGGACUGAGCGAUCAAACUCCCUGCAGCCUUGGUCAGUCCUCUGAACUUUACCACUAUAUGUAAACAAGUUGUCAGAGAAUAAUCUUCUCUGUUCCCCCUUUCUCCCUCUUUUUUUAUUGGAAUGAAAAUUCAAUCUUCCAAGAUCAGAUUAGACUACUUUUUUUUUUUUUUUUUUCCCUACUUCUUCUCUCCUCUCUCCCGGUUCCUUGUCAUCGCUGGGGAUGGACUUUGGUGGACAAUAAUGCGGCAAUUGUCGAUGCUUUGUGACCCAUAAAAUUUGAGGGUGGCUAUUCUGGCUUUACGAGGGGAGGCACCGUGCAAGCAAAAGCCCCUGCAACUCUGAGCAGAUCGGCGGAAAAAAAAGCAGCUAUAAUCAAAAAGAAAAGUGCACGAAUAAGAACAGGUGCCAUUAUGCAGGUAAUUUUGUUAUGAUGUAUGAUGGAGUGUAUUUAAAUCUAACCGCUGUUUGCCCAGCCCAUGCAUUAAGACAUAUUUGCAGAAUAAUUUUAGAUGUUGUCCCUUCAAUAAACAAUAUUUUGUGUAAGGCUUCAGAGUUUUUUUUUUUUAAUGUAAUAAGAAUUUUGAUUUGGCUUAAUUGUUUUAAGGUAAAAGAAAGGCUGUUUCUGAAAAUUCGAAAGAAAAUUGACCUCAUUCGGAUUUUCGUGUAAUCAGACAAUUUGUUAAUGUAUGAACGCGUAUUUCACUAAAACGUUGUUUAAUUCCCUAAACAUGCAAAAAAAUAAAAAUGAAUAAAUCUCCAUAUGUGUCCUAUUUGCUGUUGUUUAGUAAAAUUUUUCGUGAUGAUUAAUAAAAUGCAAUACAUAUCUUGCUUUUGAGGUGUGCAAUGCAUUGGAUUUUUUUUUUACCUUUCUGUGUGUGUAUGGGUGUGUGUGUGUGUGUGUGUGCAUGCACAUAAUAAACACUUGUGCUGUCUGACAGAGGUGCGAAUCUGAGAGCUUUUCCACCAAAUGAAGUGCCAGCAGAAAGAGAAAUAAAGAGAUCUGCAGCUGUCAGGGGUCAGGCAGGGAGAGAUUGCUUCUAGAGAUCUUUUGAAAAAAAUCACACGUUUGAAGGCUUAGAGCUUUGCUGUCUCCGCAUUUCAAGCUCAGAUCAGUGGAAUCAGGGGAGGAAAAAAAAAAAAGGAAGAACAUGGGUUGGAGAAUUCUGAUGCUGGGAUGGACACGGGAACAGUGCUGUUUGGAGGUCUGUUUUAUGUACCUGAUCCUUUAGAGAGGGGAAGAAAGACAAGCCGAGUAUUUUGUUCUGUGUGUUGGAACAACCGUGUCUCUAAUGUCCGGGUGUGUAAAAAAGAAUUGUGUGUGCAGAAAUCUGCUCUGCUGCCGCCUCAAAUUUGAAGCGAGUCUCGACAGAAGAUCGAAGAGAAGCAACUUUGGACCCUUAAGUGUUUCGCAAUUUCUGUUUUUGCGUUAUGUAAUAAUAAUAAUAAUAAUAAUAAUAAUAAUAAUAAUAAUAAUAAUAUAUAGUUUUUUUCUUUUGCCAUUCUGAAUUUGAUCUCUGUUAAGUAAUGGAAAUGUAAAUAAAUAACUUCAGAAUUAGUUGAAAUGCGGAACUCUGAAUCCAACUUUAUUUUCUUGAGAUGAGGAGCGACUUCUGGUCCUUUUGUGGCUCGUGAUCGAAACAGAACCGCAGUUUGGUCGAUAAUAUAGAGGGGACACACUUGGUGACGUUUUGACAAAUCGAUCGAACAUUUAAUCGUGUAUUUCAACAUUCAAGACAAUUUAAUUAGCCGGUAUGAUCAUAAAUCUUAAGGAAAUAUUGGUAAGUAUCGGGUGUCAUA